GCCUUCGUGGUGUAGUGGUCAGCACGCUCGACGCGUAACCGAGAGUUCCGUAGUUCGAUUCCCGGCGAAGGUG
rnacentral:tRNA from 1 species